GGCGGUGUAGCUCAGCUGGUUAGAGCGUCGGAAUCAUAAUCCGCAGGUCCGGGGUUCAAAUCCCUGCGCCGCUA
rnacentral:tRNA from 1 species